AGCACAUGAUGAAUUCCAACUUCUGGUCCGUGUUUUUGAGACACAUGAUAACCUUUGAAGUUCUGAGCU